AGUGAACGCUGGCGGUAGGCCUAACACAUGCAAGUCGAACGGCAGCACAGUAAGAGCUUGCUCUUACGGGUGGCGAGUGGCGGACGGGUGAGGAAUAUAUCGGAAUCUACUUUUUCGUGGGGGAUAACGUAGGGAAACUUACGCUAAUACCGCAUACGCCCUACGGGUGAAAGCAUGGGAUCUUUGGACCUUGCGCGAUUGAAUGCGCCGAUGUCGGAUUAGUUAGUGGGCGGGGUAAAGACCCACCCAGGCGACGAUCCGUAGCUGGACUGAGAGGAUGAUCGGCCACACUGGAACGGGGACACGGUCCAGAGGCCUACGGGAGGCAGCAGUGGGGAAUGUGGGACAAUAGGCGCGAGCCUGAUCCAACCAUACCGCGUGGGUGAAGAAGGCCUUCGGGUUGUAAAGCCCUUUUGUUGGGAAAGAAAAGCAGCAGGUUAAUACCCCGCUGUUCUGACGGUACCCAAAGAAUAAGCACCGGCUAACUUCGUG
rnacentral:rRNA from 1 species